GACGAACGCUGGCGGCGUGCUUAACACAUGCAAGUCGAACGGAAAGGCCCUGCUUUUGUGGGGUGCUCGAGUGGCGAACGGGUGAGUAACCCGUGAGUAACCUGCCCUUGACUUUGGGAUAACUUCAGGAAACUGGGGCUAAUACCGGAUAGGAGCUCCUGCUGCAUGGUUGGGGUUGGAAAGUUUCGGCGGUUGGGGAUGGACUCGCGGCUUAUCAGCUUGUUGGUGGGGUAGUGGCUUACCAAGGCUUUGACGGGUAGCCGGCCUGAGAGGGUGACCGGCCACAUUGGGAUUGAGGUACGGCCCAGACUCCUUCGGGAGGCAGCAGUGGGGAAUAUUGCAGAAUGGGCGGAAGCCUGAUGCAGCAACGCCGCGUGCGGGAUGACGGCCUUAGGGUUGUAAACCGCUUUCGCCUGUGACGAAGCGUGAGUGACGGUAAUGGGUAAAGAAGCACCGGCUAACUACGUG
rnacentral:rRNA from 1 species